rnacentral:rRNA from 1 species
GACGAACGCUGGCGGCGUGCUUAACACAUGCAAGUCGAGCGGUAAGGCCCUUUCGGGGGUACGACGAGCGGCGAACGGGUGAGUAACACGUGGGUGACCUGCCCUCCAGCUCUGGGAUAAGCCUGGGAAACCGGGUCUAAUACCGGAUAUGACUCCAUGACGCAUGUUGUGGGGUGGAAAGCCUUGUGCGGCUGAGGAUGGGCCCGCGGCCUAUCAGCUUGUUGGUGGGGUGANGGCCUACCAAGGCGACGAC